rnacentral:rRNA from 1 species
GACGAACGCUGGCGGCGUGCUUAACACAUGCAAGUCGAACGGAAAGGCCCUGCUUUUGUGGGGUGCUCGAGUGGCGAACGGGUGAGUAACACGUGAGUAACCUGCCCUUGACUUUGGGAUAACUUCAGGAAACUGGGGCUAAUACCGGAUAGGAGCUCCUGCUGCAUGGUGGGGGUUGGAAAGUUUCGGCGGUUGGGGAUGGACUCGCGGCUUAUCAGCUUGUUGGUGGGGUAGUGGCUUACCAAGGCUUUGACGGGUAGCCGGCCUGAGAGGGUGACCGGCCACAUUGGGACUGAGAUACGGCCCAGACUCCUACGGGAGGCAGCAGUGGGGAAUAUUGCACGAUGGGUGGAAGCCUGAUGCAGCAACGCCGCGUGCGGGAUGACGGCCUUCGGGUUGUAAACCGCUUUCGCCUGUGACGAAGCGUGAGUGACGGUAAUGGGUAAAGAAGCACCGGCUAACUACGUG